rnacentral:rRNA from 1 species
UACGUAGGGGGCAAGCGUUGUCCGGAAUCAUUGGGCGUAAAGAGCGUGUAGGCGGCCUGGAAGGUCAGCUGUGAAAACUCGAGGCUCAACCUCGAGACGUCGGUUGAAACCACCUGGCUAGAGUCCGGAAGAGGAGAGUGGAAUUCCCGGUGUAGCGGUGAAAUGCGCAGAUAUCGGGAAGAACACCCGUGGCGAAGGCGGCUCUCUGGGACGGUACUGACGCUGAGACGCGAAAGCGUGGGGAGCGAACAGG